GUGCGGUGACCAUCUUCAUAAUUUAUUAAACACAUAAAACACAAGACAAAUGUCCUCAAAUAGUUUUCCCAACUAAUGGUAUCAGACAGUUCAUUCAAAUAAUACACAAUGGCAUCAGUUCAUUCAAUUAACAUACGAUCUACAAAAGAAAAGCACAUAAUUAAAAUAUGAACUCUACAUAUAUAUAAGGCAUGAACUGUUAAACUGAAGAUUUAUCUUCCUAUACACAAAUACACUACUCGUUAGAUGGUCUCCACCCUUGUCGAUAACUUUUCUCGUGCACGCACGACUUUAAAUACUAACGGAACUUCUUACUCUAUUGUUAUUACAAUUAGCCCGC
rnacentral:lncRNA from 1 species